GACGAAGGAUGCAAGCGUUAUCCGGAUUCAUUGGGUUUAAAGGGAGCGUAGGCGGACUUAUAAGUCAGUGGUGAAAUCUCUGGGCUUAACUCAGAAACUGCCAUUGAUACUGUAGGUCUAGAGUACAUUUGCUGUGGGCGGAAUAUGACAUGUAGUGGUGAAAUACUUAGAUAUGUCAUAGAACACCGAUUGCGAAGGCAGCUCACAAAAAUGUAAACUGACGCUGAGGCUCGAAAGUGCGGGGAUCAAACAGG
rnacentral:rRNA from 1 species